CCUACGGGGGGCUGCAGUGGGGAAUAUUGCACAAUGGGGGAAACCCUGAUGCAGCAACGCCGCGUGAGCGAUGAAGGCCUUCGGGUCGUAAAGCUCUGUCCUAAGGGAAGAAUACUGACGGUACCUUAGGAGGAAGCCCCGGCUAACUACGUGCCAGCAGCCGCGGUAAUACGUAGGGGGGUAGCGUUAUCCGGAAUUACUGGGCGUAACGGGUGCGUUGGCGGCCCUUCAAGUCAGAGGCGAAAGGCUACGGCUCAACCGUAGUAAGUCUUUGAAACUGUAGGGCUUGAGUGCAGGAGAGGAGGUGUGGAAGCCCAAUGGGGCCGGUAACAGCUUAGAUAUUUGGGGGAACCACCGUUCGGAAGGCGGCUCCUUGGACUUUUACUGACGGUGCGGCACGAAAGCCUGGGGAGCGAACAGGAUUAGAUACCCUUGUAGUC
rnacentral:rRNA from 1 species